AGCAAAACGAACGAAGAGCGGAAAAGCAACAGAAUCCAACCCAUCAAACCCUAGGGAGGAAAAAAAAAGAAGUGAUGGCAGAACUCCUGAACAAUUACGAUCUAUUAACUCACGCUGUGGAUUCCAAGAAGAAAUCUGUAAAUGGGGACACUGAAUAUCAUUACACGAACACUCGAAAGACCUUCGAAGAGUAGAAAAAUGACCACAGUAAAGCAAAUAAAAUGGUAAAGAAACUGGUACCGUUGUGUCAAAAUUUCUCUUCCGAUCUCAGCUCUGAGAAAUUAACUUUUGAAAUUUCUCCACAUGUACAUCUCUGUCCUUGGUGAAAAAACCUUGAACAAGUCACACCCUUGUAUCGCAGUUGGUUCUAUCGUUUGA